CGGAAUUGAACUCUGACCUCCUGGUUCCUAGGUAAAAUGCUCCACCACUGAGCCACAGGGGCUGGGUAGCUGGGCCUCUUUACGUCACCUCUUACUCCGGUCACUGUAGAAGUGCACGCUUUGCUCCCAACUACUUUUCUUUGGCUAAAGCAGGUUGCAUAAUGAUGCCUGGUUUUACUGGGACGGGGAAGUAUGGUCCAUCGGUGGGCCCAGGGCAGUGAGAUGCAAAUGAUGUUAAAAGUUGUAAUGUCUGCUCAGUGACUACGGGAACACGCUUGAAAAUUAAAAUGAAGUUUGAGGAAUGUGUGCUAAGAUGCUCUCUCCGAAUGGGAAAACCACCCCAUUAGAUUUAAAAAAUAGACGACAGGCUUUCCACUUCCGGCCACGAGGGGAGCACAGGCCAGCCGCUCCCCUUGAAGAAGAAGACACAACACAUGAAAUACAGUUUCAGACACUCGACAGCAGGAGAGCAGGACUCUGAUCACUGGGGGAAUGGAAACAGGCCAGCCCCACGAUGGCCCCAAAUUACUGCUAGAUGAGGUUCCAGGCGCAGUACAGGGCGGGGAAACCAAAUAGAGGUUCAUGGUCUCGCCGUGUCCAGAAGACAGAGACAGCGUUCAGGGUGACCACAGUGGGUAGGACUUGCAGGGCAGCGUACAGGAGAGGAGAAGCAAAGAGAGAUCAGAUGUGAGAGAGACAAGCAGGCAGGCAGUUCAGGAGAUCUGCGGGGGGGGGGGGGGGGGGGGCUAGAAACACUUUGUUUGAACAUGGUUCUGCGCACUCAUGAGAGGAAACCCAAGUGAGCACAGUGACUCAAACCCCAGAAACGAAUAGGACGGAGGCUGGGCGGCCACCAGCCAAAGAGUAGACAUCCCAACGCAGGCCUGGGGCAGGGCCUGGAGACAGGCAUCCUUAGCAGGGCGCAGGCCUGUCCUCUGCAGCCAGAGGGAGCCACUGCCCAUGCAUACCCAGCUGUCCUCCUCCAGGAGGGGAGCUGGGCCCGCCUGGGGCUCUGGUCCCGCCAGGCGACCUUGUCCAGGUCUCCGCGUCCAGCCUCACCUCACUUGCUGGCUGCCCAGGGGUCCGUCUCUGCUUGCUGGUUCGUUUGAGAUCCACAAGGGUACACAGUAAAAAGAGGGUGUCGGAUUUGCCCGGUUACAGCUGCUCAUCGCCUGCCAGGUGAGGUGCCUGGAGCAGCCGGUGUGACCUGGGGGCCAGGCCCUACUUCUGAAUUGGCGGGGUUGAUGGGUCGAAGUGGGGUAUCUGUGAUUGCUGAGCGGGUCCUGAAGGCUCCCCGAGGUUCCAUGGAGAAGCAGCCCAAAUGCCCCUGCCCUGGCCACCACUCCUUCCUCCCCGGCCUGCCCGUGGCGCCAUGGGUGUUGUUUUCAGCAGAUGGCCACAAGAAGUGAUGAUUUAAAAAAAUCACACACGAACACCAAAAAGUGCUUUGAAAAAUGGUUUGAGAAUUUACUGUACAGGUUUUUUAAACAAUUUAUUUAUAUGUUCGCUUCUACAUGCUCUUAUAUUUGUGUAAAACAUUUAUACAUAUCUUUACAAUUUGUACAUAUAUUAAAUGGCUAUAUCAUAAACACUGUUCUAUGAGAUUUUAUAAAAGAAAAAUCAAGGGAAAUUACUUAUAAAACAUUAACAAAAACCCGUGACACUAAAGAACAAGAAGUUCUCAUUCACGUCCAUCUGAUUUCCUCUUCUACUUAUUUUUUGGUUUCACUUCAUUCAUGCGGCCCGACGUUCAUUUUCUGUAACAGCGAGAUCAGGGCAGAGCAAAAGCCGUGGCGAUCACCGAGUAAGUAAGGCAAGAGUGCAGGAAGACAGUGUGCGGGGUGCUCAGGCCGUUAACUGAAGUACCAGGACCAGGAAACCCCGGGAUUAGCGCACAUUAUUCCGCUGCCACCCUUCGCAUCCGCUAAGCUUUUCCACUUGGUGGGGAGGGGCAGCCAGGUCACUGGUUUUCAUCUGUCCGGUAAUACCCACGGGCCCACUGUCUGCACCCAAAUCAAGUGGCCAGUCCUGCCCUCACUUCUCAUU